GCCUCGGUAGCUUAAUUGGUAAAGCGUCGUCUGGUCCCAUGAAGCCCCAAAAUUACCGACUUUAGGUAAAUCGUUGGGUGGGUUGGGUUCAGCGGAGAUGUGGUUCGAAUCCUCAACGGGGCA